ensembl:lncRNA
GGUCAGGAGCCCAACUAAAGCAAACACUGAUCUCCAAAAUGGUGACACUAAACGAAACAGUAACAUUAUCAUCUAAAUCUCUUUAAUUCUCAGUAAGAUCUUUUGAUCUCUGUUCUCUGAUCUGACAGAAAUAAAGUCAGUCUGGUUAGUAAUGUGUGAAGUUGGUGAAGCUGUUUGUUGAUCGUUUAAAUCUUCAGUUGAUUUCAUCUAAGGCUGUGGCUGAAGUCAGUUGUAUUUCAUGUGUUUGUCUUGUUAUGUUUUUUUUCUUCAGUGAUUCUACUCAUUAACAGCAGCUGUUGAUCAGUGUCUGAAUUCACUCAUUAGUGUUCAUUCUCUCUGUCAGGUGGACUAUAUUAGUAAACUCAUGUAGGGAAUAGUGAAUGAGGGUGUAAGGUGUGAUUUGAAACACAGCCGCUGAGUGUCGAAUUUGAACGUUGUUAUUUUACGAUAUAUAGCAGCAGGCUACUUCUCGAAAACGAUGAAUAUUACCCAGAAUGCACUGUUUAAAUGAAAAACAGUAUUUUACUGUCGAAAUUUGGCCGUUUUUUUACAGCGAUUUUUAACAGUGCAGUCUCUCUCUACCUCUGGAGGUGGAAUAUCAGGAGAAAAACAACUACAGCUUUGUGAUCAACAAUCCCAUCACAAACCAGACCACACAACUGGACAUCAGCAAACUCUGUCAGCCAUGUUCAGGUAAUUCUGCACUGAUAUAAUGUGUGUUUAUUUACUGAUCUGAUCUCUGUUCUGUUGUAAAACAGAUGCAUUCCCUUCUCUUUAUCAUUCCAGCACCAGUCUCUCUGAUAGCGCUGAUCUCUGCUGGUGGAUCUUUGUUGAUUUUAGUUGCAGCUGGGAUCUUCUGCAUUUGCAGGAAAUACCGAAAAACUGAUCAAGAAGUUCUCAAAGUUGAUGAAGCAACCAUUCUGAAUCACGAUGACGAGAUCAUUUACACUAAUCCGACAUUCUACAAAAGAAGUCUACAAACAGUGAGGGCUACAGAGGAGAAUCAUGUGGAGUAUGCAUCUGUCUGCAUAAGACGAUGAAACGUUUCUGAGAACAGGUCCCUUUCACUAGACGUUUGGAUUCAUGUGAUCUCUGAUCUUUGGAAGUUACAGACAUUUUUGGGGGGAAUUGAUGAGAAUCCACUCUGAUGUGUGGGAGCCUGAAAACAUCUAUUCUGGAACAAAAAUCUAAACAUUAACAUACAUGGUAUUAUGAUAUAAAAACUACUUUCCCACUGAGCAGUUGUUGGAAAGUCUGAGUGAAACCUGUUUUGGUCUUGCUCAUGUUAUUAUACAUGUGCAUAAGGGCCUAUUAUUGAACAUUUGUGGUUGCUGUGCAUUUGAGAGCAUGUUAGAGGAAGAGUGUUUUUUUCCGUUCCUGGCUGCUAUUCUGAAACCCAUUGUUCACCACAAUAUGCACGCUCAUCAUGAUCUAACAGAUAAGUUGUUAUCUCAAAUCAAACAGUGAUUGACUGUGAAACCUUACUGUGUGAACUUUUCUUUUUGUAAGUGAGAAAUUAUAUAUGUAAGUGCAUAUGCUUGCUUACCUCACUUCAUAGGCUACUUAGUUUUUGAACCUAUCAGGAAUGUCAUUACAAUAGGCUCGAUGAAUCAAAAUGUCAUUUUCAUUUUUGAUCACAAGGUGGUGAUGUCGCAAAACUUUUUGAGAUCCUUCAGGGCAUUGCACUACUACAUAUUAAGUUUUGUAUAUGUCAAUGCAUUUGUAAAAUAUAGGCAUUUUUAUGACAAAAUUCUAAAUAGCUGAUGGGCAAAUAUGGUAAAAUUGAGGAUUACAGAAAAAACUAGGCAUGCUGUGCUGAAUCUAAACAGACCAGUCUUGUGAUAUUUUUUUUUUUGUCUAAACUGUUCAGAAGGUAUGAGCAAAAAUAGCUAAUUUUCCAUAUCUCCUGGCCACUGUUUUAGUCUUAUUUAUUUUUUAUGAAACUUUAACAUGAUGUUUAACAUGAGAAUGAGUGUCAGAAGCUUGAAUGAGACGCGUAACACACAAGAAUUAACCUCAUUGGUUCUUGCAUGGCAAGCAAGCGUGCUUGAGCUUCCCAUAUUUGAUGUAUUGAUUCAUGUAAAUAAAGGCCUAAAUUCAAUCUGUUCAUCACAUAAAGUGUUGGGAGUUUGCUCAGGAAAUUUGGACUGUAUAAUUCACAUGGAUUAGUUUAACAAUUUCUUUAUACACUUUAAGUAUCAAAGUGAUAGUUCAAGGAUUGGAAGAAUCUGUAUUGUUGUUAUAUUGCUGUCUUUAAUUAAAUAACUAUUAAGCAUGUUAAUAUUAACAGUAAUGCAAACAAUAUAGUAUACAGCAGAAGAGUUGUGCAUUUGUAAUGCUUUGUCUGUAAAUGAUCAUUUUAUAUGAAUAAUAUUUUCAAAACACUUAUUUUCAUACUAUAGCAAGCGACCGUUUGAUACUGUUUUCCAUGCAAUUAAAAAUAAAGGGAGGUCCUUUUAGACAGAAGGUCAGAAUGAGUGUUGAAAAUAAAGCCUUUUCUGCUUUUUUGUGCAAAACACUUUAUAAAAAUUAAGUUAACCUGAAGAAACAUAAAAAUAAAUAAUAAUAAUAAAACACGUAACCACAACUUGCACAUCUACAUAUUUUGUAAUGAAAAACACAUGCACAGAAAAGACAAAAGCAGAAAUUCUCAGCAGUUGCUCCUGCAAGCACCAGAGCAACACCAACACAUACUCCUCCUAUAUUGAGUACAUACACAACCCAACCUAAAACAAAAAACAAAGUCAUUUUUACUAGGGAUUGGCAUAGAGAAAAGGGAAAUAAACGGGGUUGUUGUUGUUUUUGUUUUUUUGGGUUGUUUUUUUUUAUCUUAUUUUUUAAUAUAUAUAUCUCCAGUCAUUUCAGCGAUGGGAGUCUCAUUAAAAUAAAACCCUCAUCCGUUCAUUUGGGUUGUUUAUGACAGCAGGAUCAAAGGUAACAGCAUCUCCCUUCUUAACUGACUUUAUUUGAUCUGUCUCUGCACCAGGAACAUCUGAAUCACAAAUAAACAUCUGCUGCAUGAAACAAGAAAGAACUCAAUAUUGGCAGCAAACAAAACCCAAAUUUAAAGUUUCAGCUGAAUAUGAAAUGUCUAUAUAGUAUAUAGUUUAUUGUUGGGAAUGUGCUUUGUGACAUAAAUAGCAUCACUGAUUAUAGUGAGAAGGUCUAGACUCCACAGCCAAGAACCACCCAAAGGCUUUCUGAAUGACAUGGAAAGCAAGCAAUCACAGUUCAUGCUGUUUAGGGGUGUGGAAAUGUAACAUCAAUGUGUCUACAAUAACUGACUGGUAUGUAAAACUCUUGGAUGUAUUUUAAAAAGUCUGUACCAUGUUCUUCACAUAAUUCGAAUACUUCUGAGAAUCCAGCAUUUCGUUAUUCCUGAUAAACAUUAAGGUGUACAGUUAAAGAGCACGACGCACAUCUCUGGGAAAUCAUGGGAAACAACUUUUGUUGCCAUAUGCAUUGGAUGUUCAGCUAACAGUCUGUAGGCAUGACAUCUAAGACUUUGGCCCUGUCUUAAAUGGCACACUUUAUGCACUUGUCUUGCAGUCUUACAAGUGAGGCUGUGUAUGUGUGUCUGUUAAGUCCACAAGACUGUAGGGCAUUUCAUUUGUCAUUUCAGGUUUCUAACAGAAGCAAUGCAUUUAUCAAUCAACAAUCGGCUCAUUUACUU